rnacentral:rRNA from 1 species
CUUACCAUGCAAGUCGAACGGAGAUCAAGGUAACAGUUUACUGAGACUUUGAUUUUAGUGGCGGACGGGUGAGUAACGCGUGGGUAACCUGCCCCAAAGGCCGGGACAACAGUUGGAAACGGCUGCUAAUACCGGAUAAUCUCAAGAGAAGGCAUCUUCUAUUGAGGAAAGGUGGCCUCUGAACAUGCUACCAUUUUGGGAUGGACCCGCGUCUGAUUAGCUAGUUGGUAGGGUAGUGGCCUACCAAGGCGACGAUCAGUAGCCGGCCUGAGAGGGUGACCGGCCACACUGGGACUGAGACACGGCCCAGACUCCUACGGGAGGCAGCAGUGGGGAAUCUUCCGCAAUGGGCGAAAGCCUGACGGAGCAACGCCGCGUGAAUGAAGAAGGCCUUCGGGUCGUAAAGUUCUGUCAUUUGGGAAGAAGUCUCUAUAUGUGAAUAAUGUAUAGAGGUGACGGUACCAAAGGAGGAAGCUCCGGCUAACUACGUGCCAGCAGCCGCGGUAAUACGUAGGGAGCGAGCGUUGUCCGGAAUUACUGGGCGUAAAGGGCGCGUAGGCGGGAAAUUAAGUCAGGUGUGAAAACUCCGAGCUCAACUUGGAGAUUGCACUUGAAACUGGUAUUCUUGAGGGCAGGAGAGGAAAGUGGAAUUCCUAGUGUAGCGGUGAAAUGCGUAGAUAUUAGGAGGAACACCAGUGGCGAAGGCGACUUUCUGGACUGCACCUGACGCUGAGGCGCGAA